ensembl:lncRNA
GUUUUGUUUCUUUUACAUGCCGAGAGACGAGAUGUGCAGUGGACGAUUAAAGAGGACGUUGACAUCCAUAGAGGUGAGUCACACACAUUGACGGAAGCGAUGGCCGUUUUGUGUUGUCUGUGUCAUGUUUGCACUUUGUUCGGGUUCUUUACAUGUGUAACUCUUUGCUUUGACACACUCUGUCCUUGAGGUGUUGGCUGUUUUCCAUCUGGGUCAUGUUUGGACUUUAUCCUGGUCACUUGUCUGCGUCAUUCAUGGGUUUGACAUAAAUUGAAGACAUGGGACUUUGAUUGUUUGCUGAUGUCGCCAUAUGUUUUGUUUCUUUUACAUGCCGAGAGACGAGAUCUGCAGUGGACGAUUAAAGACGACGUAGACAUCCAUAGAGGUGAGUUAAACACACUCAUGGAGGAGAUGGCUGUUGUAUUUCUGCUUCAUGUUUGCACUGUUUUCCGGUGACUUGCAUUUCUGCUUUAGUGCUUUCCACUUUGCUGUUUUCUCACACUUAGCUAUUUUCACACUAUGUUCUUUUCUCACACUUUGCUAGUUUUCAUAUUUUCUCACACUUUGUUCUUUUUCAUCUUUCCUAUUACUUUGGUAUUUUCUCA